AUUGAACGCUGGCGGCAUGCCUUACACAUGCAAGUCGAACGGCAGCACGGGUGCUUGCACCUGGUGGCGAGUGGCGAACGGGUGAGUAAUACAUCGGAACAUGUCCUGUAGUGGGGGAUAGCCCGGCGAAAGCCGGAUUAAUACCGCAUACGAUCUACGGAUGAAAGCGGGGGACCUUCGGGCCUCGCGCUAUAGGGUUGGCCGAUAGCUGAUUAGCUAGUUGGUGGGGUAAAGGCCUACCAAGGCGACGAUCAGUAGCUGGUCUGAGAGGACGACCAGCCACACUGGGACUGAGACACGGCCCAGACUCCUACGGGAGGCAGCAGUGGGGAAUUUUGGACAAUGGGCGAAAGCCUGAUCCAGCAAUGCCGCGUGUGUGAAGAAGGCCUUCGGGUUGUAAAGCACUUUUGUCCGGAAAGAAAUCCUUGGCUCUAAUACAGGCGGGGGAUGACGGUACCGGAAGAAUAAGCACCGGCUAACUACGUG
rnacentral:rRNA from 1 species